UAAUAAGGUUUAUGCAUGUAAUCUGCUUAGUGGCAGCAUAGGUGCUGUUGGAUCUAUUAUUGUCUGGCACUUUACUCAUGAUGGAAAAAAACAAAUUGCAACACAGGUAAUUGAAGAAAUUGAUGAGACGAACAACAAAAUCGUAUUUAAAGUAAUCGAAGGAGAGAUCGUAGAGAAGAUAUACAAAGCAUUCAAGAUAACAUUUAGUUAUGAACAAAAAAAUGGUAAACAAUGGGGAAUUUGGACCAUGGAGUUUGAGAGGCCGGAUACAAAUGUACCUUACCCAACUUCUUUUAUGGACUAUCUCUGUGUAUUCUAAAAGACAUGGAUGACCACGCCAGUAGUAAAUAGAUCUUGAUAUGACAAUGAAGGAAUGCCUCUAUGCGUAUGGAUGCAUUUGUUUAGUUAAUAAAGCCAUAAGCACAUAAAAAGUAAAACGCUAUAAACCUUUAAAAAAAAGCUAUAUAUCUUUAGAUUGUAAUAACACAUGUGUAUUAUUCCCUUUCCCUAGUGCAUGUAAUAUAAAACUUGAAUGCUUGAAACCCGAUAUCUGAAUGUUACAUAAGAAAUUCAAUGUACUUGAAUGAUCUAUGCAUGAAUGUAAAUUAGAAACAAAGCUAGCUGAAAUGUAUAUGUGUAACACUACAAGAAAUACUAAUUAUAUGUAUUGUUUUC